GACGUAGGGCGCGAGCGUUGUCCGGAUUUAUUGGGCGUAAAGAGCUCGUAGGCGGCUUGUCGCGUCGACUGUGAAAACCCGCGGCUCAACUGCGGGCCUGCAGCCGAUACGGGCAGGCUAGAGUUCGGUAGGGGAGACUGGAAUUCCUGGUGUAGCGGUGAAAUGCGCAGAUAUCAGGGGGAACACCGAUGGCGAAGGCAGGUCUCUGGGCCACUACUGACGCUGAGAAGCGAAAGCAUGGGGAGCGAACAGG
rnacentral:rRNA from 1 species